AACAUAUCAUUUAUACAAAUCUUUCUAAGCAAGACCCGUACAAUAUUCUUUCUUAAACUUUCUUUAGCAUGUUCCAAAACUCUCUCUCUCUCUCUCUCUCUCUCUCUCUCACACACACACACACACACACACACUGUAGAGUUAAAAGUGUAGUGUAUAAAAGAUUAUUACAACUACAAUGCGGAAUAAUAAACUAUCAAAGUGUAAAAUUGAACCAAAGACGAUCCAAAGCUUCUUCAACACCACCAAUGAAGUGUUCUUGAUGUUGAGCUCAGAUUUGUGCCACACCAGAUCAUGCACCGUCGUUCACGGGAAUGGCAAUGGAUAUACCGAGAAAGGAUCCGUCAGAAGCCACCAAGAAUUUCGCCAGAGUUAUGGAAAGCUCCCAUUUGGUUACUUCUCUAUGCUCUCUCUCUCAAAUGUUAUGUCAAAUUCAAGUAUGAGAGAAUGAAGAGGUCUUAU
rnacentral:lncRNA from 1 species